AGACAAUCGAUGACGAAGAAAGUAACGAUAGGAUGUAAUCGACCAGCGAAUCAGGGAAUGGUGGAAGCCUGAACAGAUUAGACCAUCGUGAAACGCACUUCCGAGAUGCUAUCCGAAUCCAUGUGAUCAGGCCUAGCCGGGGGAACCCCGUUAUCCCCGUUAAAGUGGGUGUCGUACCGUCGACACCAAGAAGAGUGGUACCGCGGUCUUUCCGUCUCUUUG
rnacentral:ncRNA from 1 species